rnacentral:rRNA from 1 species
AGCGAACGCUGGCGGCAGGCUUAACACAUGCAAGUCGAGCGGGCAUCUUCGGAUGUCAGCGGCAGACGGGUGAGUAACACGUGGGAACGUACCCUUCGGUUCGGAACAACUCUGGGAAACUGGAGCUAAUACCGGAUACGCCCUUAUGGGGAAAGGUUUACUGCCGAAGGAUCGGCCCGCGUCUGAUUAGCUAGUUGGUGGGGUAACGGCCUACCAAGGCGACGAUCAGUAGCUGGUCUGAGAGGAUGAUCAGCCACACUGGGACUGAGGCACGGCCCAGGCUCCUACGGGAGGCAGCAGUGGGGAAUAUUGGACAAUGGGCGCAAGCCUGAUCCAGCCAUGCCGCGUGAGUGAUGAAGGCCUUAGGGUUGUAAAGCUCUUUUGUCCGGGACGAUAAUGACGGUACCGGAAGAAUAAGCCCCGGCUAACUUCGUG